ensembl:lncRNA
UGUACAUUAUUUAUUGCCAUAAAGAAAAGCAAUCAUACAUAUAAAGCCCCCCCCCCAAAAUGGUUUUUUUAUACUAAACAAUGAAAAGUUGCUUAAAACAACUGACAUUCUUCAAAACACCUGAUUUCAUUCAGGUUAGCCAGAUGACUCGUGCCUGUGGAUAGCGUAUUGGAGCAUGCCAACAGUACACACUCGUGCCAUCACGUACAACUGACUGACUGAUUCUCUGUACUCUAAGUGAAUGCUCACAUGGAGUGCAAAUGUAGGAAGAAUGCUCCACACAGGAAGUACACGGGAAAAGAAGCAAAUCCAACACGAAAAAGACACAUGCAAAUACAAGUGAAUUGGCUUAGAGAAAGAAUUGUUACCAAGGUCCACUGUUGGAAAUACAUCUGAAAGAGAUAACCUUGGAAGCUGGUCACCUGAACACAGUGAGAAAAAGGGUGUGAGAAAGGAAGGACCUGAUCAUCCAUCAGAUGGAAUCCAGACGUGACAAUUAGAGUUAAUGAACCAUGACCCAAGAAGCAGUUUCUGCACUUUACAAUCCUACUUCAUGGCCUCAGUAAAACUUACAGGGCUUUUUUUUUUCCCACAGAACACAUCUGCUCCAAAUUCUAAAGGGAGAAACUGGUUUCAGAAGUUACAUUUGGUUUCCUCCCUACUUUUCAGUCAUGUAUGAGGUAAAUGUAAGAACUUUGUUAACUAAAAAUCAGAAGAUACAGCUUCUACGAUGAGACUACAUAGUAUUAUUAUAGUAGCUAUUUAAUUUAUAUUAAAAUUAAUGAACUGAUAAAGAUGACUGGAAAACACCAAGCAAAUAUUUUCAAAACAACCAGCAUAAUGGCUUCUAUGUUUAAAUACUGGUUUUGGCCUCAGAUAGCUAAGAGAAUGCCUCAAAGGGGGAAAAAAAAAAAAGUUGAUUAAUACCUAAGUCUCCUAUCAUUUCUUCACAGAGCAGGUAUAGCUAAUGAAGCAGUGCCUCUUUUUCCCCAAAGUCCAGAAGAUCUACUGAACUUCUAAUCCUGAGGUGGAAUUGAUCUUUCUUUCCCUACGAGCAAAGUAUUCCUGCAGUCAGAGCCUCUCAAUAGUUUCUCAGAAUCACAAAAAUUCAUCCAUUUGGUCUUUUGCUACUAUUUGGAAUGAAGGAUUGAAAUAGGGCCAAACAACUCUUGGUGGUUUUCUUCCCAUACCAGACGCACCUUUUCUUGGCCUCCUCCAAAGAUGUGUUACCAAAACCAUAACAAUUCACUAUGAAAUCUGCUACCUAAAUUACAAUUGCUUUUUGGUUACAGUAGUGAAUUCUAAAAAAGCUUUUCCAGCAGCCCUGGUCAGAAAUCCACAAAGGAUACCUAGUGCAGAGCAGGAAGAUCUCAAGAGUUUGGAGAUAUUGUUUCACAGUCAGCUUACACUCCAGUUCCCUCUUCUCACUGAGUUAGGAAGUGAUUGGUUGCAUCCUGCUUCUGGAGAAGACAAAGGUAUUUCAGCCAUUGGUACUCCAAACUCAAAGAAGACCAUUAUUAAGAAAUGAAAGUCCAACUUGGUCUUGUACAUGGAAAUGUCUGCAGUACUUCCAAGACUUCUUCAAGAGUCAAUGGGUCUCAUAGGAAUGGCUCACAGAGCUUUUUUUCUUACUGACACUGUCCUCAUACAUUCCAAUUUUUACAGUUAGUAUGGCGUUCUCUUCAGUGAAACUUGAGCGCACACACUCAUGCUGUGUCAUGAGAAUUUUCUAGUCCUAUCACUGAAUUCCUUUCUUAUAGCUUAUAGUAAAAUCAUUUCCAAAGGAGGAGAGGAGAAGAGAACAUUGCUGUUUUCUGUUCUAAUAUGAGCAUGUGAAUAAAUUAAAUGAUAUUUAUAUCUUUAUAGAAGGAGCUUCACAAUUUUAAAAAAUAAAAAAAGAUGAUCAGAAGAAAUGGAAGGAAAAGGUGUGGUAAGAGUAAAAUAUCUGAUAAGAAAUUAUUUGACUGAAAAUGAAUAGUAGAGGAAUAUUACAAAAUCUAUCCAUAUCACAGUUAAUCGAUUAAAUAAUAAAACACAUCACUUUAUUCUAGCAAGUUUUUUCAAUGCAAAAAAAAAAAAAGCCUAUGGCUUGGUAAUAAAAGUAACUGUAAACUGUCUUGCCCAUCAUACAUACUAUUGUUAAGUAUAGUUUUAUUCCUUCACUAUAUUAACUUCCCAAGAGCUCAUUAAAUGUUACUGAUAUUGAAAGCACGGUCAAUCAGGUGAAAUAAAAUAAAAUGGAAAAAAAUUAAAAAUAUCAGUAGAUCAAGUGUUUGUUGUAAAUAUCUUCUGCCUUGCUUAAACAUUGAACUAAUUUUUAAGUAUGCAUGCAGAGAAGUUGUAUAAUGCAUAACCUGAUAAAUAAAACACACACAUUAGGCAAGUG